ACGGAAGGCAGCAGUGGGGAAUAUUGCACAAUGGGCGCAAGCCUGAUGUAGCGAUGCCGCGUGAGGGAAGAAGGUUUUCGGAUUGUAAGCCUCUGUCAACAGGGACGAUAAUGACUGUACCUGUGAGGGAAGCUCCGGCUAACUACGUGCCAGCAGCCGCGGUAAUACGUAGGGAGCAAGCGUUAUCCGGAAUUACUGGGUGUAAAGGGAGUGUAGGCGGGACUGUAAGUCAGAUGUGAAAUAUGCCGGCUCAACUGGCAGACUGCAUUUGAAACUGCGGUUCUUGAGUGAAGUAGAGGUAAGCGGAAUUCCUAGUGUAGCGGUGAAAUGCGUAGAUAUUAGGAGGAACAUCAGUGGCGAAGGCGGCUUACUGGGCUUUAACUGACGCUGAGGCUCGAAAGCGUGGGGAGCAAACAGGAUUAGAUACCCUGGUA
rnacentral:rRNA from 1 species